rnacentral:lncRNA from 1 species
UUUUUUUUUUUUUUUUUUUUUUUUGCCAUUUCUUGGGCCAUUCCCAGGCUAGUGAUUGAAUCGGAGCUAUAGCUGCUGGCCUACGCCAGAACCACAGCAACAUGGGAUCCAAGCCGCAUCUGCAACCUACACCACAGCUCACGGCAACGCGGGAUCCUUAACCCACUGAGCAAGGCCAGGGAUUGAACCCACAACCUCAUGGUUCCUAGUCAGAUUCAUUAACCACUGAGCCACGACGGGAACUCCCCAAUUUUCUUUACAUAUUUCUGUAUUUUCCAUAUUUUUAUAAUAAGGAGACAUUACUUUUGAAAUCAGAAAAGGCAACACUUUUAAUACAGAAAACAACAUUACUACACCUAUCCAGCAGUGUGGCUUUACUGCCAAAAUGGAAUAUCAAUGAGCAAACAUCACAUCCUUCUAGGAUUUGAGAUCAUAAGAAACAGAGAAAUAGGACCUGACACUUAGAUUGAGACACUGAAAAGACCAUGUGACAGAAAGAAUUAAAAAAAAAAAAAAGAUAGCCAAUCUAAUUCUGGCAUUUCUGUGCUACCAGGGGCAGGUAUCUUUCCUUUCAGUGCUGGCUAAAAAAAACGGUGGAGAAAAUUCACAGCUUCUCGUAGUUUCUAGGAGGCCACUCUGCAAGUGGAAUUUAUCUAUGGAGAAGAGUAAAAUUAUCUACCCAAAGACACCGAUCAGGUCAGCAGACAUCAAUACUGCUGCCCUACUUCACUUCUCCAGAGAGAGUAAGUAUUACUUCAACCACAUCUUAAGUUAAAGGCAUCAGAACAAUCAAAGAGGUAGACCACCAACAGGCUAGCUGCCUGUCUAACUCCAAAGAGAGAAAACGGGAGGUCUGAGGGAACCUUCUGUCCCACCUUCGACAAAUAUAAAACAAGGAGGUUGGCCUAGGAGACUUAAGGACCCUUUCCUUUCCAUUUUGAAAUUCUGUGAUUCCAAGACACAGGUUUCGUGUCUGGCAUACAAAGUCAUCUUGUCCAAAAGAGCAGCUCAUGACAUCUUCCAAAGGCUGGUGAAACUCCUGCAACAAUGAGUAAGAGAGUGGAGCACGGUAAAGACUCGGGAGCUGCGGAGACAGACGGCUGCCAACAGGCAGCCCUGGCACCUGCAGCCCGCUGUGAGGCCUCAUCAUCACAUGGCACCAGGUGGCCUCCAGGAGUAUGACCCGCCUUCACGAGCAGCUCCGUCUGACCACCUGGGCUGACACAAAGGUAUCUAUCUGGUCCAGCCCCAAAGCUUCUGAAGGACAAAAAAGCAGGCUAUGUGGCAAGGUCAGAAAGACAGUCAAUGAGUUGGAAGUUCAAAUCCCCCCUCAGCCAAGAGGGAUGGAAACUCUGGGACUCCGGCUUCUACAUCUACAAGACGGAGAGAGACGAGCCUGGUAGAUGGGGGUGUCUCUCCAACUCUUCCGCAAGGUCCCCUCAGCCGUCAGAGGGAACAUCCUGACACACCUGCUCUAAGCGCAUAAUCCUACGUCUCACCGGGACUCAUGUUCAUCUCGCACCCCCCUCUGUUCUCAUCUACGUCCACGUACUUCUUUUCUGCACCUGCGGCACAUGGACGUUCCUGGGCUAGGAGUGAAUCAGAGGUGCAGCUGGGGCCUACGCCACAGCGGAUCUGAGCCACAUCUGCAACCGCACUGCAUCCUUAACCCACUGAGUGAGGCCAAGGAUCAAACCUGCAUCCUCACAGAGACUACACUGGGUCCUUAACCUGCUGAGCCACAAUGGGAACUCCAAUAUUUCCACAUUCUUCUCAUGUAAGUGACGGCUUAAAUAGAACAUGACUAUCCGUCAUGGAAACAACCUGAGUUCACACAUCCUCCCCACUCGCCUUGUCUUUGAGUAAAAGUGAUGCUCCCGGAAGCCACACCAUGAGUGUCCCAGAACAUCGGCUAUCUCCACACAGCCCAUCACAUAACCCUCCAGAGAACGCAUUCUCUGGUGUGAGCUGCUAGACUCCUAAGACUCACAAAAUUUUCUUCCUGGUAUAAUUUUCUAUGCCAAGAGGCAAUAAUGUAUGUCCAAGUGCCAGGUUCAUCAUAGGUCAUCAGAAGAUAGAAGCUACAUCUGAAUCUGAUUUGAUUUCUUUAUCAAAUUAAACGUGCUUUGAAAACAUGCAGCAGGAAUUCCCGUCGUAGCACAGUGGUUAACGAAUCCGACUAGGAACCAUGAGGGAACUCCCUCACAGGUGCUCUUUAAAUAGGCACUGCAUAACCACUACAAAUAAAAAACCAGCACGACAUAGUCAUUAUGUAGAUUUCAGUCUAGUUCUAGUCUAGACAAAGACAAGCCUGCACAUCAGCAACAAAAACAGAGGGAGCAGAGUGCCCGGAUUUUGCCGUGGGCAUGGGCUUGGGCAGGAUCGGCGGGAGACCAACGGGGCUCUGCCGAGUUCCUGCCGCUUUCCUCCUUCGUAUCAGACAGAGGCUGAUGCUAACCAUCGCCCUCCUCCGCAGUCUAUACCUCGAACGGCUGUCAGAGGAAGGCAGGAUUUCAGGCCAGGAAGAAGGAAGGGAAGGGCUGGUCUCGUGGCAAAGCACCGAGGGGGAGGAGGAAAAGGGGGAAGAGGCUCUGAAAGAGCAGUUGGUGCCAUUACAAUUCUGCCACGCAGACCGGGAGCAGCUCGCCGAAUUUUUUCACAAGACCUUUGAAGUUCUGUAAAGAAAAUCACCAGGAAACCAGCAGGAAUGCAAUGUUUCAUCUAGUGGAUGAAGCGUUGAAUUUCUGACGAAAAUCACUAGCUCCACAAUGCCUAAUGUAUUCCCAUUCUGCAAACCACCCUUGCAAGACAGCUGCCAGAAGGGAUCCCACCCCAGCACACCCUUGUCCUUUGAAAAAAUGCUUUACGUGUUCGUUGAAAUGACAUGUAUCACAAAAAAGAUGCUGUGUCUCAACAAAGACAAGCUGACGCCACUGCAUUUCAGAAAGACAAGGUCCUUGGCGGAAAGGAAACGGAACAGGCUUGGGGGUCUGUACAGGACACGUGAGUCCCACCCGGUGUCCCCUCUCUGGAAGGAAAGACCUUACUGCUCUUUGCCGGGGCUGGGCACCUUAGCCCGGGGCACACAGCGGACUCAGAGGCUCCCCCGCUGGCUGGCCAGUGACCCAUGAGGCGGCCAGCUGUGGAGGGUUCUGCCCAGCUGAGCAAGGCUUGGCAAACCUUUUGGUCUUAGGACCUCUUUACAUCCUGACCGAGUCAGAACAUCCCAAAGGGGUUUGUUACCGUCUUAAAGUGGGUUUUAUCUAUUGAUACCGCAAGAGAAAUUAAAACUGAGAAACCUUCCAAACUCAAGAACACACAUUUAACUGUCAGAGGAUGACACCCCUGCCCACCACACCCCCUCUGGAAAAUGCCACUAAAUAUGCAUGAGAGAGUAAGAGUGAGUAAGGGCAAAUAAUGCCUUGUAUUAUUUUUUAGGAAAAUAGUUUUGACCUCACAGGGUCCCUACAUGAGUCCUGGUAACCCCAGAAACCCCAAAGGCCAUCCUUUGAGAACCUCUGUAUCAGGGGCAAUGACAAACAGCUAAGCAGUCAGACUCAGACAAACUCACUCCAGAACUUUUUUUUUCGGUCUUUUUAGGGCCGUAGCCGUGACACAUGAAGUUCCCAGGCUAGGGGCUGAAUCAGAGCUACGGCUGCAGGUCUACACUACAGUCACAGCAAUGCUGGAUCCGAGCCUCGUCUGUGACCUACACU